CCGGACAUGAUUCACAACCUUUUGCAUUUAUCUGUCAUAAAAGCCCCUAGAUUAAGGGUCAAAGUGAAAGAAAGGAAUUAUUUCGCUGGCUAUUUGUGGUAGUUUCACAAAUCUUUCCAGCCUUGAGCCUAAAACCCGCUAGCUUAUCAAAUCCCAGACAGUAGUAACACUAGCUUGUUUCAGCUGUGACUACUAACCCACUACUGUACAGAAGUCACUUGCCCGCAGUUGUUUUUCUGGUUUCUCUUCUCUCUCCCUAAAGGAGCCAUUGAAAUUUGGUGUAAAAAGAGUAGCAGUGGGUGUAGGGUGUCUCAAGGCGAAUGUGAACAGCUGAGGUGUGAUUUCACAGGCUCGCUCUGCCCUGUCACGGCCCUGAUUGGGUUGGACAGCAGGCAGAGGAGAGGCCCUGGCUUCUAAAGGACACCAACAGGUGGAGGACCGCGGGGCAGAGGGGGGAAUAAGGGAGGCUGAGCGCUUAAAAAAAGCCGGGAGCAUGUGGCCAUGUCUGGGCAGAAUCCACCAGUCAUGCAAAGAGGACCAUACACUGUAGCACUCAGCAGAAGAGGAAAGAUGGGGAACAGAAAAGCAAAUGGAAGAUUUUACACCUCUGCCACUGGAAAUGGUGCUGAUAAAGGAAAUGGAGGUAAGCAGCAAGAAUGAUUUUCUGAACAUUGUCAACAUAAGCUCUGUUCAUGUUCCUCCCUCUGCCUGCCGUUCUCUCUUGUUGAAGCAGCACGCCUUGCUGUGGCUGGUCAAAUGGAACCAAGUCAGGUGUUUCUGCAAGGUUUGGUCCCCUUCAACCAGCUACUGCGUCGUGAAUACAGCCAACAUAGAGCAAAGAUUAUAAGAGAGUCAUUCAGUAAAGUCUGAUAAUUAUCAUUUAAAAUGUACUAAUCCUAAGUUUUUCAUUAUUUAAUUGUCUUUUAUUCUUCUAAAAUUCAAUAAACUAUUUUCCUUUUCAAUGUUGUGUUCAUUUUCUCCUUCUUAAUUACAAUAGUAAUUAAUUAUUCUUUAUAUAAUAAUCAUUCAGUCCCUGAGCUUGUCAUUCAUUGCCCUUGUGAAAAACAAGGGUGCUUAAUUUGUGCAAUUUCUGAAUUGUUUUGAAUGUGUACUUACAAUAGUCUGUUUAAUUAUAUUUUAUAAAUUAUUCAAUAAUUAAAUAAUUUGCGUUUUAUGUUAGAAAAAUUAAUAGUGAAAGGCGUACAUAAAAUGUCGAAUUUAGUUAGAAUCCACUCAGAUAAUGAUUAACAUUUUUUAAAGGUUAAGCGUUUUGUUUUACUGACUGAUGAAGGAAAAAAAUAUGAGUUUUCUUUUGUACCCCAUUUAUGAGAAGUGCUUGAGUUUAGUUUCGGGUUCGAGCUCUCCAUUAACAGCAAGCCUUAAAGCACUCAGAUACCAAAUAUGAACGCACUAAUAUAGUCUGUCCGUACCUGCAUUAUGCACAAUGUCACUGUGUGUGCAUGUGUGUGUGUGUCAGAUGGACAAGCAGUGUUUUUACAGGACAAGUGCUCUCAAGCAUCACUGACACUGCUGUGUAACAAACAGAGAAGAGAUGAGACUGCCAGAGGUUCGGAGAUUGAAUGAGAAGAGCAAGGUCACUCCUUCUCCGACUGUUUAUGGAUUAUAACCCAAGUCUGAAAUGAUCUGCUUGGUUUUAUUGGAUACAGUACAGCAGAAGCAGGCAGACACCUACCUUUGUCUCUGUUUCAAUAACUAUUCUUAAACUAGAAACAUUAAUUAAUUGUAUAAGACUGGUUCUCAACUGGUUCUGCAUCGUAAUGACAACAACACAAUAUCAAAACUGUUUGUUCAGCAAAAGUAACAAAAAUGUUACUAAACCGUUAAAAACUACUCACCCUCAGGUCAUCCAAGAUGUAGAUGAGUUUGUUUCUUUAUCAGAACAGAUUUGAAGAAAUUUAGCAUUGCAUCAGUUGCUCACCAAUGGAUCCUUUGCAGUGAAUGGGUGCCGUCAGAAUGAGAGUCCAAACAGCUGAUAAAAACAUCACAAUAAUCCACAAGUAAUACACACCACUCCAAGCACAGAUCAAGCAUUGCUUAUAAGAGAAAACAGUAUUUAAAAAAACAGUAACUGUUGGUGGAUUUUGAUGUGAGAAGACAACACACUGUAAAUCCCAGCUCAUCCAUUACACAAAAUUUUAGUGUAGGGUGUACACAAAUAUUCAAAAAAAUAAAAAAAAUAAUUUUGUACACUUCUUGCAAAAACACAUCCCAUAUUAGCUUGAUAUAUGUUUUAAUGUAAGUUAACAAGUGUUGAUUUCGGAGUUAACUGUACUAAAAUGUAUAAAGCCUAAUGUGUAUGUAUUCAUUGUUUUUAUCUUAAAAGGUAUUCUCACCAAAUAUCCUGAGGUAAAAUUGAUGAAUAAAUAAAGUGAUGAGUGUUUAUUUAUUUAUUUAUUUAUUUAUUGUGUUUAAUGUAUUACUG
rnacentral:lncRNA from 1 species